GUUUUUGCCAAUUGAGAUGGACAGUUUAGUAUGCCGGGCAGCAGCCGUGGAUAUUUUUACCUGAAAUCCGACCUGCGCAGUGUCGUCCAUUUUGUUUCGACGCCUUGUUCAAGACAGAACUUGACACAUGAACAACACAAGAACAUUUUUGGGGCCUGUCAGAACCUCUGGAGAGUUCAUAGCGUGACAAAGUCCUUCCCACUUCCUGCCUGCCCCUUUCUUGCUGUUAUGUUAAGUAGCAGGCCUGCAUUCUGUCGGCCACUCGUGUCCUCCUUGGGUUUCAAUUCCAAACAUGGUGAUCCUUGUGGGGACUCCAUAUCAACGACACCCCACUCCCACUCCCACUCCUCCUCCCGGCUUAUCCGCCCUCCUCCAGCUGUUGUCGCCAAAGUGCUGGCCGGCGAUUGAACCGAACGAGUCGCCACCCGAGACGAAAAAAGGGGACGCACAAUGAGAACAGGACCUCGUUCUAGAACUGCGAGAAGCCCCUGAAGAACUCCCCGAGGGAACGCAUUUGGAUUGCAGACUUUGCCGUGCUUUCCGGACAUGAGUGGGGAAAACGGCAGCCUGAUGGAGAACCUGUUCGCUGCCCCCAUCUGUGAUGGCUGGAGCAACAACACCGAGGGGGCCCUUUAUCAUCUGGGCAACACGAUCCUGUUCCUGGGCUAUAUGGGUGGCAGUGGAGCUUACGGGUGCCUUUUCAUCUUCGGCCUCCUAGCGCCUUCCUUCCUGUGUCUGACUCUGUGGGGCUGGAUGACGCUAUGCGGGCCCGAUGUGGUCACCUGGAACCUUUUGCUGCUUCUAGCGUGCCUGCUCCAGAUUUGCCACCUGCUCUAUCGCUUGCACCAGGAGGGAUUGUCCAGCGAAGAGCUGGCCGCUCUCUACCAGGCCGUCUACCUCCCGUUGGGGGUGCCCGUCCAGGUCUUCAAGGAGAUCGCGGGCGCCUUUGAGAACAAGGUGCUGGAAAUGAAGGCGGGUGAGAAGUACGCGGUGGAGGGCAAGACGCCCAUCGAAAGGCUCUCCUUUCUGCUGUCUGGCAGGAUCAACGUAUCUCUGGAGGGUCAGUUCCUGCACUACAUCCACCCACACCAGUUCCUCGACUCGCCCGAGUGGGAGUCACUGAGGCCCAAUGAGGACGGAAAGUUCCAGGUUACUCUGACGGCAGAGGAGGACUGUCGCUACGUGUCGUGGCGCCGCCGCCGCCUCUUCUCGCUCAUGUCCAAGGAGCGUUAUGUGUGCCGCCUGUUCGCCGUCAUGCUCGGCUACGACAUCGCCGAGAAGCUGUACAACCUCAACAACAAGCUGUACAUCAAGAGCGGCGUCCUGCUGGACAUUCGCCUUCCCAGCCUCUACCACGUUCUGGCCCCCCCGUCACAGAGCAACGAGGGCGAACCCCCCGAGCGAGACGACCGACACCCUCCCCGGGAGUCAGACCCCGACCGGGGACGCCAGGGCGAGAACCCCAUCGGGCAGCGGUGGCCGUCCGACCCGGAGCUGCCCUCGGGUGAGGACUCCACCAGCCUGGUCCUGGAGGACUUUGCCGACAUGGCGGGCUCCUUAACCGACUAUGGCAGUGAGAGGGAUUAUUUGAGGUAGAAGGGGGCGCGAGGGGGUCCGGAGUUAACACACUGGCUCACCCGCUUAGGAUACAUGGGGCACCAUGGCGGGAGGCGCAGCUCGCUUCCAGAGGACUCGAGCGCCGCUGGCUCCCACUGACACUCCCAAACUCUGACCACGCCAUUUUUUGUUUCUUUUGAUUUCUUUUCAGCCGUUCACACUAUUUGGACCACAGUUUUUUUUUUUUUUUUGUGUUUGUUUCGAUUCACACAUCACUUGUGCUCAUUUAAUAUCAUUUUGUUCAAAAACACAAAAGAAAUUGAGAGCUUCCUCUGUAAAUAAAAACAAUGUGUUAACGUAGUUAGCCGUGGGCACGUUUUUUUUCCUCUUAAUAUUGAACAUGCACCAAUAUAAUGUGAAAUUGUCCAAUUACAGGGGGCCAACAUUUCUCCAUAAAGCUUUUGUGCAAUGUGCAAUGAAAAUGUUGUUUUGGGACUGUCUACUUCCUGGAAUGCUUCAUGUACAGGCUAUGCUUAGUUGCUAUUUUUUUUUAGCCUAUUUCAAUGUAAAUCGUGUGUAAAAUGACAACAAUAAACACACAUGCUGACAUGGA